rnacentral:rRNA from 1 species
ACGGGUGAGUAACGCGUGGGAAUCUACCGUGCCCUGCGGAAUAGCUCCGGGAAACUGGAAUUAAUACCGCAUACGCCCUACGGGGGAAAGAUUUAUCGGGGUAUGAUGAGCCCGCGUUGGAUUAGCUAGUUGGUGGGGUAAAGGCCUACCAAGGCGACGAUCCAUAGCUGGUCUGAGAGGAUGAUCAGCCACAUUGGGACUGAGACACGGCCCAAACUCCUACGGGAGGCAGCAGUGGGGAAUAUUGGACAAUGGGCGCAAGCCUGAUCCAGCCAUGCCGCGUGAGUGAUGAAGGCCUUAGGGUUGUAAAGCUCUUUCACCGGAGAAGAUAAUGACGGUAUCCGGAGAAGAAGCCCCGGCCAACUUCGUGCCAGCAGCCGCGGUAAUACGAAGGGGGCUAGCGUUGUUCGGAAUUACUGGGCGUAAAGCGCACGUAGGCGGAUAUUUAAGUCAGGGGUGAAAUCCCAGAGCUCAACUCUGGAACUGCCUUUGAUACUGGGUAUCUUGAGUAUGGAAGAGGUAAGUGGAAUUCCGAGUGUAGAGGUGAAAUUCGUAGA